UCCUUCCAUGAAAGAAAAAUGGUGGCAAGAGCUCCUGCCUGACUUUCAUCAAUCCAGAAGCAUUUGUAUUCAAAAGUCAGUGCUUGACAAAACCACAAAAGAGAUUGUUGGCUACUUAACAGAAUUUGCUAUUUGCUGUGGUUUGUGUUUUGUUUUGGGUUUUUUUUGUUUGUUUAUUUGUUAGGGUUUUGUUUGUUGAAAUAAUGUAUAGAGUCUUUUUAUUUCAAGAAGGAAAUAGAAGGCAGCACAACCUUGUGACCAACACUCAUGUUCCUACAUCAAAAUCAUGAGAGCUGCUAUUGUGUCCAACACUUGAUUCGAUGUCAAAUUCUUCUCAUGGCAAUUUUCUGUUCCCCAUUGAGCAAAUAUUCAAAUAAUCUGAUUUAUUUCCUUUUGGUCAACUGAUCUAACUUCCUUUCUCACUUGAAUUCCUGUCCUGGAGACCUGCCAAACAAUGACUCCUAGGAAUGAAACGAGGCAUGCCUCUGAGAUUCCUGUGGAACACCAAACUAGCACAACACAGUAAUUAGAGUUUGGAUAUUUUUGACGCUGUUCUUAAAAGCUACUUGAACUUUAGAAGGAAGGACUAUUGAAAUUAGAUGUAACAUCAAGUUUAAUUUGAAUCUUCCAUGAUCUCUAUGAUUUUCCAGGUUCUAGGGAGUUUUCUCUGUAUCUCUGUUACCUUCCUUUACCUGCUGUUGGAUAUUUACAGAUACCACUGUGAGUCCCUGCUGUUAUAGUCUACUUUGUCAUGUGUAUUUUCUUGUGGCAACAGGAAUAUGAGGUUCCUGCUGCAGGAAUCUCUGUAGAGCAAAGCACAUGGUGUGCUCAGGAAUUGGAAUCAGCAGCUUUUGGUGUUGGUCUUUUUAUUGUCACUGCACAGUAGCCAAGUAUUAGCAUGUAACUGCUAAGGUACUCCCAGUUCAUGCUGUGUGAGGUGGUCUUAAGCAAGUUUGCUUGGGAAGAAGAUAUCCUGUAUUCCUUUGGGCAGUCAGUCUGAGCUUCUGGUGCUGUUAUUACCCCUGGCACUGUUUAGGAUGGACUCUUCAUCCCACCCCCACACUUGGCAGUGUGCACUGUGUCAAGCCCGAACUGGGCAUUUUUCCAUACCUUUGCUUGUUUUCAUGGAGCAGCACUGAAACAGGCUGUGCUGCUCCUUUCUGGGUGAAAAGUAUGGAUUACCAUCUACAAAACCCAGCACUGUUUGGGUUCUUUUUGAAACUCUCUCAAUGGGUAACUGUAACAGAAGUGGUCGAAUUUGUCAGGUCCCAGGAAAGCUGAUGGCUGUGCCCAGGCCAGGUACCAACAGCAACUUCUCACAGUGCAGUUCUUUCCCUCAGAUCAACCACAGGACACCGUGGAGGCCUGAACUAUUCCCUUGGUAUAUGAUUGAAACCACGCUCAGCUAAUCACAACUAACCCUGUACAUCUUAUUUCUGCAAAAUAUACAGUUUCCUAGAGCAGAAAUGAAAUCUCCUACAACAUACAUUUUGCAUUAUUGCUUCUUUUUAGCAGUAAAUGAGGACAUAAGAAACUUUUUCUUAAGCAUAGAAAAAUGCUACAUUUUAUCCUUUCGAGACGGUGUUUUCAAACCAUGUCAAAAUGAUCAAGAACUGGAUUCUUGUUUAAACAUAAUAGGAAGGCCUUAUUGUAUUAGCAGAUUACAGUCAUUGUGUUGGUAUACUAUCUACCUUGUCUUCAUUUUUGCUAACUUAAUGAGAAAUUUUUCUAGCAUGGUUAUAUUUUAAUACAAUAAAAUAGUGUUGGAGAAGAAAAUUAAUAUGAUUUUAAAGAGAGAUGUAAAGACAAUAAAAUAGCCUCUGGGUUUUCCUUCCUAAACUUUUAAUUUGUUGCGAACUUAAAAUAUACUUUUUAUCAAUCCUUUAAAAUAAUUAUACUCAAAUGAACAUUUAAACUCAAUUAAAAGGUUUACAGAGGGCAUUUUUUCCACAUGCUCUGCCAUAUAAGAUCUAAGCAGAUCUGCUCAGAUGUUCCUAAAUUUUCUUGUUUGAGAGAAGUACAAAACUGAAUAAUUCAGUAUCAAGCCCUGACUUUUAGUGAAGAUAUUGUCAUAGCACUAUUUACAAUGUCCUUGCUCCUCUGAGGUUUGCAUUUUGAUGAAAAUUCUGACCAUAGAAACAGAAAGAAAUGUCUGUGGUUUUAAGCAUCAGCAGCCCAUGAGCAAGUUGCUUUGUCUACUCCUUCAAAAAAGGCAUCUCUAAAGGCCUAGGACACAGUUUUCAGGGAGGAAGUAGGAGCUUUUGUCCAAAACUCCAGAUUGAAGCUUGGAAGAUCUGUACUCAGUUAUUAUUCUUGCCACAGGCUUCCUGUGAGGAAUGAAGAAGAUAUUUUCAAUUUUAGUGACUCACAGGUAGAAGAGAGUUUUCAUCACCUAUAUCUAUUCCAAGCAGAAACUCUGUAGGUUCUCUGGGUUCUUGGCAUACGUUUUUUGCAGAAGGCAAAAGGAUAACCGAGCUGUUGGAGAUGACCCUCUUUUAACUGGAUCCCAGCCAUGGCAGGCCAAUGAGGGUAUGAAGGUCAUUUCUCGUUAUUCCACAGCAUUUAUUCAUCCCCUUGGGACCUGGGGACUGUUGUGUUUUCUGACCUGACCCCUGGGUUGCUACAACUACAUUUGUUACUUUGAGUACAGGAUAUGUUUUAUGGGACCUGCAGCCAUAAUUCCCCACAACGUUCACAUCAGCCCAAUGUCAGGGUCCUCACCCAGUAUGGGACAAAUUCCAGAGAUCCAAACACAUCAGUCCCAAUUUUGUGGUGAUGAACACAAAGUCCAUAUACUGGAUUGGGAUCUUGGAUACAUUUCUCUGGCAAUAGAGGAGAAACACCCUUCUGCCACAUCAAUAAAUGGAAUAUCAUCCGACUGUUUUCACACAAAAAGAGUCAGAAAGCAGUUUUCUUAAUCUCCGAGAGAGUUUUACUUUGUGUAUUAAUUGGUGUUAUUUAGAAGCACAAUAGUGACUCUUAAGCUAGGAGUCCCAUCACGUGGCACUCAGAUCUGGAGCUAGGGCAAGGCACUUAAUCUCUCCUUACUUUAGUUUGUGAAACAAACAACACUAUUUCAACUACUUUUCAAGAAUAUUAGAUAAAAUUAAUUAGUUUAGUAUUUGUACUGCAAUAAAGGUCUAUAUAAUUGGAAAGUCUUAUAAGAAUCUCGAUCGUUUUAGUUAUAUUUUGCGUUGAUUAACUUUGAAGGCUUAGUUUUGAUACUUGUGCUGUAUUUGAAGUGUGCUAUUGUUUGAUCUCUCUAAACAACAGCUGACUUUUCAAGCUCCUGUAACAAACCUGUUUAGUCUCUGUGUCUGCCAAUGCCCUCUACUGGUUUGAAACACAAUCGCUCAGCAGAGGGUAUUGCAGGAAACUGUAAUAUUUAGAUGAUUUUCCUUGGGGAGAAGUAGAGUUUUGGUUGUGUAGCCGGGCUCUCUAUGAAGUGCGAGGAGCUGCACCAUGGGCAGGUGACACCGGGGUGACUCUUGUCCUGCUGCACACACAUAACACCGUGCCAGGUGUUUUGUGUUGCCUUCUGUGGUUUUGUUUCCCUGGCUUUGCUGUUCUCCCAUGAAUGACAGGCUCCCAGGUAGCUCUGGAGAGGGAAGAAGGCAGUUGCCUGAGAGCUGCUGUGCAGAUGUUCCACCAACACCACGGCCACCUCUCCAAGGAGCCUCUCUGCUCUUCCCCUUGGUCCGGGGCCUUCCAAAAGUGAGGGGUGCUUGUGUUGACAGGCUGUGGGACAAAUAACCCCGGAGGCACAGGAGCUGCAGAGCUAAUGAAGUGCCUCGAGGAAAAAGUCUUAACUAUCAAGGGAUAGAUCCACUCCCCCUGCCACAAACCAGAGGUCACGUGGCUGAGGAAUGUGUAUCCAAAGAUAGUGCUACCUUCCGAGAACUCUACUUACAGUUUACACAGAGGUUGUUUCCAAGAGAAGGAUGUAAUUUAAAGGAUGGAGACAUCAUCUAUACCAUCCCUUAUCUCUUAACAGCCCAUCAUUUGUGUUAUGGUUGGAUCAGCAGCCAGAUCUCUGCAGCUGUGUGGAGUGGGCAGACAGUUUGACAACCUGAGGAGGAAAACAAGUCAAAAGCACAGAUUGCUGGAGUCUGAAAUUUUCCACUUUCUUGUAUAACAACAGGAUUGCUGCUUAUCAGGUCACAUCAACUGCUGCUGUCCCACACCAGGCAGCAGAUUCUACAAGGUGUGGUGUUGAUGGAUGGGAACAGCCCCUCGAGGCUCAGCUCAUAAAUAUCAGUUUUGCAGAAAUGCCAGACCAUGGUCUAAACAAAAGCUGGAUAUUCUAAGGAAAGAAAGAGAGAACAGCUCAGGAAAUACAAUCAUGCCCCUUUGGGGAUUUGGGAUGUACCUGGAGAAGGCGUGAGGAGGUGGCACAGACGGGCACGGCUUUUCAGGGAUCUCCAUUUGAAUGGAUGCUGAGUUCAGCCCCUGUGGCCAAAUGCUGGGGACCUUGGCAGGUCCUCCACCUGUCCAGCAGUUAGAAGAGCUCCUGGAGAUCUCAGAGAGCAGAGAUUUGUGUGUGAACAGGAGCUGCUGAGGCAGAGCAGGUGCAGAGCCACUUGGCACCGUUGGUGCUGCUGAACUGGGAGGCAGGAAAAAGAGGAGCCUGGCUGUAAUUAACAGAGCAGCUUAACUACUAAUGCCUUGGUAAUGUCCCUCGUAUUGUAGAUGAAAGGCUCAACUGGUAAUUUGAAAUGAGAACAAACACACCGAAAGGAUGGCUACUGUGAGAAAAAGGAGUACAUGAAAACAACAAUUUAUCCAAAAGAGGAGUUUUCUGGAUGUGCUUGCAGGGUCUUCUAUGUACCAUUUAAAAUUCAAGAAAAUAAAUACUGAUUGUUACAGAA